rnacentral:rRNA from 1 species
UACGAGAGGCCCAAACGUUAUUCGGAAUUACUGGGCUUAAAGAGUUCGUAGGCGGCGCAGAAAGUAGGGUGUGAAAGCCCUCGGCUUAACCGAGGAAUUGCGCUCUAAACUACUGUGCUUGAGGAACCUAGAGGUGAGCAGAACUGAUGGUGGAGCGGUGAAAUGCGUUGAUAUCAUCAGGAAUACCGGAGGCGAAGGGCGGCUCACUGGGGGUU